UCCAUCUCUUUCACCGUGCUACUCACAUAUAUGUGCGAUGCCCUUUCUGUUUUGUAUUUCGUCGGUGCUGAGAACUAACGGCAGGAGAUCGACAUGUUGCUGUCAUGCACGCAUCUGUCGGGCAAAGGCGAUGCUUCCCUUUCGUGCGUCAUCACCAGGUCCAACACAGGAUUCAGCCUGGUGGCCUACUAUACGAGCCAAGCCAGCAAGGCAACCUAUUGCACGCCAACUUGGUCACUGGGCUGUUCUAGCGGUCCAGUGUCUUGCUGCCUGCACUGCGGAAUUGGUGGCCAGGACUUCUAGCAAGAUGGUGCCUGGCAGCCUUCCCUGCGGACCUGGUGGCCAGCUUUUAAGUCUGGUGUAUGGAUGACCCUCCACCUCACUACGUGUUACGAAUCUGGCGUCCAGCUGAUCUUAGGCUUGGUAUCUCAAUGCCAGCCCUGAUGACCUGGUGUCCAGCUGUUCUACCUGCGUGUCCUCCUUCUGCGUGCCCCGUAGGCCUGAUUGCCAGCUGUUUUUGUGUCCUCUUCGGCAGCUGAUCAGAAGAUCGCGCAUACGUUAAGGAAUCAGAGGUGGCAAAAAGUUUAUUUCUCUACCAAU